rnacentral:rRNA from 1 species
UACGUAGGUGGCAAGCGUUUGUCCGGAAUUAUUGGGCGUAAAGCGCGCGCAGGCGGUCCUUUAAGUCUGAUGUGAAAGCCCACGGCUCAACCGUGGAGGGUCAUUGGAAACUGGGGGACUUGAGUGCAGAAGAGGAGAGUGGAAUUGCCACGUGUAGCGGUGAAAUGCGUAGAGAUGUGGAGGAACACCAGUGGCGAAGGCGACUCUCUGGUCGUAACUGACGCUGGAGGCGCGAAAGC